rnacentral:rRNA from 1 species
UACAGAGGUCUCAAGCGUUGUUCGGAUUCAUUGGGCGUAAAGGGUGCGUAGGCGGCGCGGUAAGUCGGGUGUGAAAUCUCGGGGCUUAACUCCGAAACUGCAUUCGAUACUGCCGUGCUUGAGGACUGGAGAGGAGACUGGGAAUUUACGGUGUAGCGGUGAAAUGCGUAGAUAUCGUAAGGAAGACCAGUGGCGAAGGCGGGUCUCUGGACAGUUCCUGACGCUGAGGCACGAAGGCCAGGGGAGCAAACGGGG